UACGAAGGGUGCUAGCGUUGUUCGGAAUUACUGGGCGUAAAGCGCACGUAGGCGGGUUGUUAAGUCAGGGGUGAAAUCCUGGAGCUCAACUCCAGAACUGCCUUUGAUACUGAGGAUCUUGAGUCCGGGAGAGGUGAGUGGAACUGCGAGUGUAGAGGUGAAAUUCGUAGAUAUUCGCAAGAACACCAGUGGCGAAGGCGGCUCACUGGCCCGGUACUGACGCUGAGGCACGAAAGCGUGGGGAGCAAACCGG
rnacentral:rRNA from 1 species